rnacentral:rRNA from 1 species
AGAGUUUGAUCCUGGCUCAGAAUCAACGCUGGCGGCGUGCCUAACACAUGCAAGUCGAACGAGAAAGUGGAGCAAUCCAUGAGUACAGUGGCGUACGGGUGAGUAACACGUGACUAACCUACCCUCGAGUGGGGAAUAACUUCGGGAAACCGAGGCUAAUACCGCAUAACAUCUACGGAUCAAAUGCGCAAGCAGCUUGAGGAGGGGGUCGCGGCCGAUUAGCUAGUUGGUGGGGUAAUGGCCCACCAAGGCAAUGAUCGGUAGCCGGCCUGAGAGGGCGCACGGCCACACUGGAACUGAAACACGGUCCAGACUCCUACGGGAGGCAGCAGUGGGGAAUUUUGCGCAAUGGGGGAAACCCUGACGCAGCAACGCCGCGUGGAGGAUGAAGCCCCUUGGGGUGUAAACUCCUUUCGAUCGGGACGAUUAUGACGGUACCGGAUGAAGAAGCACCGGCUAACUCUGUGCCAGCCGCCGCGGUAAUAC